CUGCUUACACCCAAAGGGCCGGCCUUCGCCCCCUUUGUCUGGUGCCGACUACAUUUUCUGCUUACACCCAAAGGGCCGGUCUUCGCCCCCUUUGCCUGGUGCCACUAUAUUUCCUGCUUACACCCAAAGGACCGGCCUUCGCCCCCUUUGCCUGAUGCCGACUACAUUUUCUGCUUACACCCAAAGGGCCGGUCUUCGCCCCCUUUGCCUGGU
rnacentral:lncRNA from 1 species